CCAAAGGCUCUUUUAAGAGCCACCAACUUGCUCGAGUAAAAGAGCU
rfam:Anas platyrhynchos breed Pekin duck contig23305, whole genome shotgun sequence.